GAGCAGCUUGGUAGCUCGUCGGGCUCAUAACCCGAAGGUCGUCGGUUCAAAUCCGGCCCCCGCAACCA
rnacentral:tRNA from 1 species